rnacentral:rRNA from 1 species
AUUGAACGCUGGCGGCAGGCCCAACACAUGCAAGUCGAGCGGAUGAAGGGAGCUUGCUCCUGGAUUCAGCGGCGGACGGGUGAGUAAUGCCUAGGAAUCUGCCUGGUAGUGGGGGAUAACGUCCGGAAACGGGCGCUAAUACCGCAUACGCCCUGAGGGAGAAAGUGGGGGAUCUUCGGACCUCACGCUAUCAGAUGAGCCUAGGUCGGAUUAGCUAGUUGGUGGGGUAAAGGCCUACCAAGGCGACGAUCCGUAACUGGUCUGAGAGGAUGAUCAGUCACACUGGAACUGAGACACGGUCCAGACUCCUACGGGAGGCAGCAGUGGGGAAUAUUGGACAAUGGGCGAAAGCCUGAUCCAGCCAUGCCGCGUGUGUGAAGAAGGUCUUCGGAUUGUAAAGCACUUUAAGUUGGGAGGAAGGGCAGUAAGUUAAUACCUUGCUGUUUUGACGUUACCAACAGAAUAAGCACCGGCUAACUUCGUG